UAUGAUUACAGGUAUUUAUACACUGUUUAAACAUCUGAAUUGUGAUUAAAGCAAUUAAGCGUAUGUUAAGUACGUCACACUCAGAUGGAAAAGCGCCUAAACGGUGCUUUUUUUGUAAAUUU
rnacentral:sRNA from 14 species